UACGGAGGGUGCGAACGUUAAUCGGAAUCACUGGGCGUAAAGCGCGCGUAGGCGGUCUGUUAAGUGGGAUGUGAAAUCCCCGGGCUUAACCUGGGAAUGGCGUCCGAAACUAUGGGACUGGAGUGUGGCAGAGGGAGGUGGAAUUCCACGUGUAGCGGUGAAAUGCGUAGAGAUGUGGAGGAACACCGAUGGCGAAGGCAGCCUCCUGGGCCAACACUGACGCUCAUGCACGAAAGCGUGGGGAGCAAACAGG
rnacentral:rRNA from 1 species